UCGGACAGAAGUUUGGAUUUGGAUCCUCCGAGUCGGUUGACAUACCGCACCGCGGAGACAUUGUCCAUCCGUAGUACCAGGGAGCAAUUGGAGGCGUCCUUGGCAAAGCUGCGGAUCGCGAAGGAUCCAGCAAUGAGCUCGAGACAAUUUAUGUGGAGAGCCUGUUCCGAUGGGGACCACAGACCUCCUGUGGAGGUUUGGGCACACAUAGCACCCCAACCCAAG